AUACGUAGGGAGCGAGCGUUGUCCGGAAUUACUGGGCGUAAAGGGUGCGUAGGCGGCCUGUUAAGUCAGAUGUGAAAUACCCGGGCUUAACCCGGGGGGUGCAUCUGAUACUGGCAGGCUUGAGUGCAGGAGAGGAAAGCGGAAUUCCUAGUGUAGCGGUGAAAUGCGUAGAUAUUAGGAGGAACACCAGUGGCGAAGGCGGCUUUCUGGACUUGAACUGCCGCUGAGGCACGAAAGCGUGGGGAGCAAACAGGAUUAGAUACCCUGGUAGUCCACGCCGUAAACGAUGGAUACUAGGUGUAGGGGUCAAAAGACUUCUGUGCCGCAGCAAACGCAUUAAGUUUCCCGCCUGGGGAGUACGGCCGCAAGGCUGAAACUCAAAUGAAUUGACGGGG
rnacentral:rRNA from 1 species